rnacentral:rRNA from 1 species
ACAGUGGACGCGAGCAUCUGUGGCCAAGUUAUUAAGGGCGCACGGUGGAUGCCUUGGUACCAGGAACCGAUGAAGGACGUGGGAGGCCGCGAUAGUCCCCGGGGAGUUGUCAACCUAGCUGUGAUCCGGGGGUUUCCGAAUGGGGAAACCCGGCAGUCGUUAUGGGCUGUCACCUGCCGCUGAAUGUAUAGGCGGUGUGGAGGGAACGCGGGGAAGUGAAACAUCUCAGUACCCGCAGGAAGAGAAAACAAUAGUGAUUCCGGGAGUAGUGGCGAGCGAAACCGGAAGAGGCUAAACCGUUUGUGUGUGAUACCCGGCAGGGGUUGCGCAGGCGGGGUUGUGGGAGUUCUUGUGAUUGUUCUGCCGAACGGUCGUCGAGUAAAAAAUCGCAGGUAUAGGCGAAGGGCAUGCGAAAGGCCCGGCGUAGAGGGUAAGACCCCCGUAGCUGAAAUGUCUGCGACUCGUUGAGGACCACCCAAGUAGCAUAGGGCCCGAGAAACCUUGUGUGAAUCUGGCGGGACCACCCGUUAAGCCUAAAUAUUCCCUGGUGACCGAUAGUGGAUAGUACCGUGAGGGAAUGGUGAAAAGUACCGCGGGAGCGGAGUGAAAGAGUACCUGAAACCGUGUGCCUACAAGCCGUGGGAGCGUCGCGUAUCGAGCUUGCUCGGUACGUCGUGACUGCGUGCCUUUUGAAGAAUGAGCCUGCGAGUUUGCGGUGUGUUGCGAGGUUAACCUGUGUUGGGGAGCCGUAGCGAAAGCGAGUCCGAAGAGGGCGUUUGAGUAGCAUGCCCUAGACCCGAAACGGAGUGAUCUAGCCAUGGGCAGGGUGAAGCGUGGGUAAGACCGCGUGGAGGCCCGAACCCACCAGAGUUGAAAAUCUGGGGGAUGACCUGUGGUUAGGGGUGAAAGGCCAAUCAAACUCCGUGAUAGCUGGUUCUCCCCGAAAUGCAUUUAGGUGCAGCGUCGUUUGUUUCUUGUCGGAGGUAGAGCACUGGAUAGGUGAUGGGCCUUACCGGGUUACUGACCUUAGCCAAACUCCGAAUGCCGGCAAGUGAGAGAACGGCAGUGAGACUGUGGGGGAUAAGCUCCAUGGUCGAGAGGGAAACAGCCCAGAGCAUCGACUAAGGCCCCUAAGCGUGUGCUAAGUGGGAAAGGAUGUGGAGUCGCAGAGACAGCCAGGAGGUUGGCUUAGAAGCAGCCACCCUUGAAAGAGUGCGUAAUAGCUCACUGGUCGAGUGAUUCUGCGCCGAUAAUGUAGCGGGGCUCAAGUACACCGCCGAAGUCGUGUCACCAGCCUUAGGGUUGGUGGGUAGGGGAGCGUCGUGUGCUGGGUGAAGCAGCCGUGUAAACGUGUUGUGGACGGUUCACGAGUGAGAAUGCAGGCAUGAGUAGCGUUACACACGUGGGAAACGUGUGCGCCGAUUGACUAAGGGUUCCUGGGUCAAGCUGAUCUGCCCAGGGUAAGUCGGGACCUAAGGCGAGGCCGACAGGCGUAGUCGAUGGACAACCGGUUGAUAUUCCGGUACCCGCCGUGAAGCGCCAGCGCUGAAUCUUCUGAUGCUAAGCCCGUGAAGCCGCCUGCUGAGUCUUCGGACGAGGUGGGAGUGGUGGAGCCGGUGACCCGAGGGGGUAGUAGGUGAGUGAUGGGGUGACGCAGGAAGGUAGUCCAGCCCGGGUGGUGGUUAUCCCGGGGUAAGGGUGUGGC